UGCAGGUUGUGGCAUUACGCCCAUGUACUCUAUGUCGCGAUAUUUAACUGACAGUCAAAUGGAUGCAGAUAUCGCU
rnacentral:tRNA from 1 species